CGCAAAGUGUAGCCAAAGACGUGGCACAAGGACGCAGGAGGCGAAUGAUAAAAAAUAAAAAGGGGCAAACGAACGACUGGGGAGUGGAGUGUACAGUGUAGAGUCUAGAGUCUAGAGUGUGGGCGUGGCCAUUACACACAUUGUAAAGUAGAAAGCCAUUGUGUACCCGUGGCUGCUCCUCCUCCUUCCGUUGAUAUCUUCUAAUUGGAGUCCAACAAAGACGUUAAGGCUCCGGCUCCGGCCCCGGUCCCAGGUCCCGGUCACUCAUACGGUCUGCUCACUCUGUUGUCCACACCCAUAACGAUGCCAAGCACCCAGUUAUAGUCCCCUGUCCUCUGGCUCCUUCUGGCAACGCUUAUCCCUUUUGUCAGUUGCUAAUAAACACGAGAAGCAAGCGUAUAAAUUGUUGACAUCUUACUACUGCUGUUGCCGGCAACUGUUGUUGACAGAAACACAACGAAGGAGAGACCGAGACGGCAUGUGGCAGGAACUGACUGCAGAAGAGGGAUCGCAUGAACACAAAGACUGACAACAGUUGUAGCAUUUUUCAUACGUCAGCGAAAAAGUCUCUUUGUGUGUGAAUGGCUAAUAACACUGCCCCACAAAGUGAAGUGAAAAUGUGUCGUCUGUCCCCGGCGGCACUGGAGAGUCAAUUUGGAUGAUUUUUGAUGGUUUAAAUUCUGACUUCGGAUUAGGUUACAGUGAAUGGAAUGUUGAAAUGUUGAUUGGGUUUGCAAUAAUGCAUUAAUUAAAGUCAAUUUGUUCGUUCUUUCGCUGCUCAAAUUAGUUACUAUUAGUUCAAAUAAAUCUAGAACUUAUA
rnacentral:lncRNA from 1 species